rnacentral:rRNA from 1 species
AACGUAGGAGACAAACGUUAUCCGGAGUUACUGGGCGUAAAGGGCGUGUAGGUGGUUUCGUAAGUCUGGCGUGAAAUAUCUCGGCUUAACCGAGGCAGGUCGUCGGAUACUGCGGGACUAGAGGACGGUAGAGGCGUGUGGAAUUCCGGGUGUAGUGGUGAAAUGCGUAGAGAUCGGGAGGAACACCUGUGGCGAAGGCGGCCAGCUGGGCCGGACCUGACGCUGAGACGCGAAGGCGUGGGGAGCGAACGGG